CCCUGUAGCUCAGAUGGUAAAGAAUCUGCCUGUAAGGCAGGAGACCCAGGUUCGAUUCCUGGGUCAGGAA
rnacentral:tRNA from 1 species